rnacentral:rRNA from 1 species
UACGUAGGGUGCAAGCGUUGUCCGGAAUUAUUGGGCGUAAAGAGCUCGUAGGCGGCUUGUCGCGUCGAUUGUGAAAGCCCGGGGCUUAACUCCGGGUCUGCAGUCGAUACGGGCAGGCUAGAGUUCGGUAGGGGAGAUCGGAAUUCCUGGUGUAGCGGUGGAAUGCGCAGAUAUCAGGAGGAACACCGGUGGCGAAGGCGGAUCUCUGGGCCGAUACUGACGCUGAGGAGCGAAAGCGUGGGGAGCAAACAGG